rnacentral:lncRNA from 1 species
UCUUCUUAUUCAUUUUUGUCUCAUUCGCAGCAUUAAUUAGGUCAUUAAUUGUUGUCAUCUCUUCGUCAUUAUAGCCGGCCUCGAAACUCUAUCCGGCGGCUCUUCCUCUCUCCUUUUUCUCUUUUUUGCUUUCUUCUUCUCUAUGCUUCUUCUUCGCUCCUUCUUUCCUUCUUCUUUGACUGAUAUCUUCAUCUCCUUCACCUUCGUCUUUAUACUUCUCACCCUUGAUUUUUUAGGGUUUUUCUUCGCCAUUUUUUUCCCUUUAAUC